GCUUUUCUAUCCAGGAUACAUCACCUCAUUAAGGCUUUUGACCUCUGUUGCUAUAGACUUCAUCAAUGACAGUUCUUCAAAUUGAAAAUAGUUACCAAGAUGGUAUCAUUCCUAAUACUUUGAUUGCAGAUAGGAAGUUGGCUUCCCUGAAGACCUUCACAGAAUCAUUUCUCUGGUCAGUCUCAGCCUCAUCAGUUACUCUGGUCCUGGUGAUAGGAGGCUGAAUCUGUAUCACUAUUUAGUAAACUGGGAUGUUGAAUUGGCCUCUUUCUGUUUUCCUCGUGGUUCUUCAAGACUCAUGAGAGACUAUAGAGUUAGCUCCCUUUUCUAAUUCUUCUCUGAAUUCAAGGAAUAACAAAUAUAGGAUACUUUGGAUACAGCCAGGCAUCUUUGGAUGAGGCAGAGGAUGAGUGGGAUGAUCUCAGAAGCACAAAUUAUGAUUCUAUCUUUGCCGUGGUGAUCCAAGAGGAGCCAGAGGUGGUGUCCUUGGCCUCACUUCAUGUAAGAGACACAGAUGCCCAGAAUUACAUUCCUUUGUGAACCAGAAAAGGGAAGCAGCCCUGCCAGUCAUGUAACCUUUGAAAAACACUUUAAAAACAGCAUCGUUCCUGGGAAUCUUCUCUAAACCUUGGUAUCCUCUUAUACUCCUACCCAAAUAUUGUUGACAUCUCCAAUAUUCCAUGGGCUGAUAUACUCCUUCCAUCUUCCAGAACUCUGGACACAACGAGAGCCUUCCAGAUUACCUGUCAGUGUUGUCACUCAUAUGUGUAUCAAUAUUCCAGAGCUCUGACAACCUUCUUUAUUUUUAGCCUUAAAUUCCACUUUAUAAUAUAAAUAUCACACUCUGGGCAGGGCACCAGAGAGCAAUUACUGUACUUCCCAGCUCUCCCUCUUACAAGUUUAUCAAGUUGAAGGAUGACACUGUCAACAGACAUUAAAAAAAGAAGAAGAAAGAAACGGGAAGGGAAAGGAGAAAGAAGGGAAAAGGAAAAAAAAACCACAACCUACAAGGCUUACUCAGGUAUUCCUCAAAAGGAUUCUGUCUAUGCAAGAUUGAUAGUAUCACCUUUUAUAUCUUCAUCAACAUUCUACAUAAAAUAUUUGGACAGAGCCAGACACAAAGCCCUCAGACACCACACAAGACAUUACCUUUCAGCACAAGUUUCAGAACGGGGUACUACUUUCUUGCCAAGAACCAGUCCUAAGUUCUUCAGUGGAGAAGACCAGUGGAUGAUCCUGUCCUUUUCUUCUCAGCCUUUGUCUUUUCAUCAGGAAUACUUUGAAGUAUUCUAUUUCAUUAAAGGCACAUCCCCCCUCCCCAUGAAGGACUGAACUCUCUUUUGCUGUAUGAAAACUCUAAAUUUUGGUUAUGAAAGGAUUGGUACUAGAGAAAUCUGAGAAGACUAUGAAUUGAAAGGAUGAAGUGAGUAGAAUGAGAACACUUUACAACAUAAAAACAAAAUUGUAAAAAUGAAAACCUUUGAAAGACUUAAGACCUCUGAUCAAAGCAAUAAUCAACCAAGACUGCAGAGAACCAUUAAUGUAGAAUGUUACCAUCCUUCUUACAGAUAAGUGAUGACUAAAUAAAAAGAAUGAGACAUAUUUUGAACUUGGGCA
ensembl:lncRNA